rnacentral:rRNA from 1 species
UACGGGGGGGGCAAGCGUUGUUCGGAAUUACUGGGCGUAAAGGGCUCGUAGGCGGCCAACUAAGUCGGACGUGAAAUCCCUCGGCUUAACUGGGGAACUGCGUCUGAUACUGGCGAGCUUGAGUGCAGGAGAGGAACGCGGAAUUCCAGGUGUAGCGGUGAAAUGCGUAGAUAUCUGGAGGAACACCGGUGGCGAAGGCGGCGUUCUGGACUGCAACUGACACUGAGAAACGAAAGCCAGGGUAGCAAACGGG